rnacentral:rRNA from 1 species
UACGUAGGGUGCAAGCGUUAAUCGGAAUUACUGGGCGUAAAGCGUGCGCAGGCGGUUUUGUAAGUCUGUCGUGAAAGCCCCGGGCUCAACCUGGGAAUUGCGAUGGAGACUGCACGGCUUGAAUCUGGCAGAGGGGGGUAGAAUUCCACGUGUAGCAGUGAAAUGCGUAGAGAUGUGGAGGAACACCGAUGGCGAAGGCAGCCCCCUGGGUCAAGAUUGACGCUCAUGCACGAAAGCGUGGGGAGCAAACAGG